rnacentral:rRNA from 1 species
GCUAUACAUGCAGUCGAGCGGACAGAUGGGAGCUUGCUCCCUGAUGUUAGCGGCGGACGGGUGAGUAACACGUGGGUAACCUGCCUGUAAGACUGGGAUAACUCCGGGAAACCGGGGCUAAUACCGGAUGGUUGUUUGAACCGCAUGGUUCAGACAUAAAAGGUGGCUUCGGCUACCACUUACAGAUGGACCCGCGGCGCAUUAGCUAGUUGGUGAGGUAACGGCUCACCAAGGCGACGAUGCGUAGCCGACCUGAGAGGGUGAUCGGCCACACUGGGACUGAGACACGGCCCAGACUCCUACGGGAGGCAGCAGUAGGGAAUCUUCCGCAAUGGACGAAAGUCUGACGGAGCAACGCCGCGUGAGUGAUGAAGGUUUUCGGAUCGUAAAGCUCUGUUGUUAGGGAAGAACAAGUGCCGUUCAAAUAGGGCGGCACCUUGACGGUACCUAACCAGAAAGCCACGGCUAACUACGUGCCAGCAGCCGCGGUAAUACGUAGGUGGCAAGCGUUGUCCGGAAUUAUUGGGCGUAAAGGGCUCGCAGGCGGUUUCUUAAGUCUGAUGUGAAAGCCCCCGGCUCAACCGGGGAGGGUCAUUGGAAACUGGGGAACUUGAGUGCAGAAGAGGAGAGUGGAAUUCCACGUGUAGCGGUGAAAUGCGUAGAGAUGUGGAGGAACACCAGUGGCGAAGGCGACUCUCUGGUCUGUAACUGACGCUGAGGAGCGAAAGCGUGGGGAGCGAACAGGAUUAGAUACC